UGACGGCAUGGUUACCAGCUUCAGCAAGAUUGAAUAUCAAGUAGGACAAAUUUCAUGUAUAUGCACUUCACAUCCAUCUGGACUCUGCUGCUUGUCAAUUGUUUAAUGCUACACACUAACACUUUGGACCAAAUUCAGUUUAGCCUGUCGAGCACGUUUCGACUACCUGCAACUGCAGCAGGACUUCAUCGCCAGUCACCCGAGAAGCAUCGCUGGGAGUGUUAGUUGACACUUUAUGGGAUGAGUUUAUGGAACCAGGCAGUGUUCAUUAGGAUGCUCUUGCAGCAAUCGACAUAAUUGAUGCUUUGUAAUUUCUGAAAGAGAAACAGAGUGUGAACUAUAGCUAUUUAUUUUUUAGGAAAUUCAGAUCUGUUUUAUUUCGUUAAUUGCUAAUAAUGAUUUUGAAUGUGAGAUUAGUAGCAAGCAGCAUUUUAUCUACGUCCCUAAUGGUUUCACUUGUCUUCUUAGUUCUCACCCUUUUUGUAUCCCUGAUGUAGUAUGGGAGGUUUAAAUGGGAUAUGGUGUAGAAGAACUAAAUAAAAGAUUCUUGGGAGUGGUUGAACAAACUUUUGACGGAAGUUUGACCCAACUACAUGGAACCGAACUAUAAAGGAACUUCAAUCUACUGUCGAGAGGGUACACCUGUUGCAGCAGACUUCGUCGUCUCAUCGGCAUGCUCGCCCGUGACAGUACAACUGCUGCAGCUGCGGAGAGACGCUGGAGCUCACGGCGGCGUGCCUUGUACUGUACCUCAACUAACAUAUUGGUCUUCUACAUAUCUUCUGAUCAAACUGUGUCAUGUCACAGGCAAUACUUGUCUUCAGUGUCUUCUAUCUGCUGUCCUUUAAAAGUGCAAGUAUUCCCCCUGCUUUCUGGGAUUGUGUUCUCACCAGUGGUUAUAGGUUUGUGCAAUCUUUCUGCUGUGGUCCUUCUUCUGCUACUUAUAUAUGGUUUUAAGCUUGGUAUAACAGGAGCCGCAGUUUCUACAGUCGCAUCCCACGUUUAUGGACCAACCAACCUGUAAUCAUGGACCUUAUUGUCUUGUAGACCAUUUGGUGUUUCGAGUGUUUUGGAGCUUGCACUUUGUGCAUGUAGAUACGAACUUGUGUGUUCUGGACCAUCUGAAGUCUCUCAUAGUAACCAAUAGUCCUUAUCUUUUUGUGACUUGUGUGUUCUAGAUGAUUGUUAAGAUGGUCAAAACUAUGCUUCCUCUAGGUUAAUUUGUUUGUCAA